rnacentral:rRNA from 1 species
UACGAAGGGGGCUAGCGUUGCUCGGAAUUACUGGGCGUAAAGCGCGUGUAGGCGGUCCGGUAAGUCCGCUGUGAAAGUCCAGGGCUCAACCCUGGGAUGCCGGUCGAUACUGCCGGACUAGAGUUCGGAAGAGGCGAGUGGAAUUCCCGGUGUAGCGGUGAAAUUCGUAGAUAUUCGGAAGAACACCAGUGGCGAAGGCGGCUCACUGGACCGGCAUUGACGCUGAGGUGCGAAAGCGUGGGGGAGCAAACAGG